rnacentral:rRNA from 1 species
UACGUAGGGGGCGAGCGUUGUCCGGAAUUACUGGGCGUAAAGGGCGUGUAGGCGGCGAACUAAGUUAGAGGUGAAAGGUUGGGGCUUAACCCCAAGCAUGCCUCUAAAACUGGUUGGCUUGAGUGCAGGAGAGGAAAGCGGAAUUCCUGGUGUAGCGGUGAAAUGCGUAGAUAUCAGGAGGAACACUCGUGGCGAAGGCGGCUUUCUGGCCUGUAACUGACGCUGAGGCGCGAAAGCGUGGGGAGCAAACAGG